rnacentral:rRNA from 1 species
AGAGUUUGAUCCUGGCUCAGAACGAACGCUGGCGGCAUGCCUAACACAUGCAAGUCGAACGAAGCCUUCGGGCUUAGUGGCGCACGGGUGCGUAACGCGUGGGAAUCUGCCCUUGGGUUCGGAAUAACAGUUAGAAAUGACUGCUAAUACCGGAUGAUGUCUUCGGACCAAAGAUUUAUCGCCCAGGGAUGAGCCCGCGUAGGAUUAGGUAGUUGGUGGGGUAAAGGCCUACCAAGCCGACGAUCCUUAGCUGGUCUGAGAGGAUGAUCAGCCACACUGGGACUGAGACACGGCCCAGACUCCUACGGGAGGCAGCAGUGGGGAAUAUUGGACAAUGGGGGAAACCCUGAUCCAGCAAUGCCGCGUGAGUGAUGAAGGCCUUAGGGUUGUAAAGCUCUUUUACCCGGGAUGAUAAUGACAGUACCGGGAGAAUAAGCUCCGGCUAACUCCGUGCCAGCAGCCGCGGUAAUACGGAGGGGGCUAGCGUUGUUCGGAAUUACUGGGCGUAAAGCGCGCGUAGGCGGUUUGUUAAGUCGGAUGUGAAAUCCCCGGGCUCAACCUGGGCACUGCAUCCGAUACUGGCUGACUAGAGUGUGGGAGAGGAAGGUAGAAUUCCAGGUGUAGCGGUGAAAUGCGUAGAGAUCUGGAGGAAUACCGAUGGCGAAGGCAGCCUUCUGGCCUAACACUGACGCUGAGGUGCGAAAGCAUGGGGAGCAAACAGGAUUAGAUACCCUGGUAGUCCAUGCCGUAAACGAUGUCAACUAGCCGUUGGGGUCCUUGAGGCCUUAGUGGCGCAGCUAACGCGAUAAGUUGACCGCCUGGGGAGUACGGCCGCAAGGUUAAAACUCAAAUGAAUUGACGGGGGCCCGCACAAGCGGUGGAGUAUGUGGUUUAAUUCGAUGCAACGCGAAGAACCUUACCUGGCCUUGACAUAUCCGGAAUCCUGCAGAGAUGCGGGAGUGCCUUCGGGAAUCGGAAUACAGGUGCUGCAUGGCUGUCGUCAGCUCGUGUCGUGAGAUGUUGGGUUAAGUCCCGCAACGAGCGCAACCCUUGUCCCUAGUUGCCAGCGCGUAAUGGCGGGAACUCUAGGGAGACUGCCGGUGACAAACCGGAGGAAGGCGGGGACGACGUCAAGUCAUCAUGGCCCUUACGGCCAGGGCUACACACGUACUACAAUGGUCGGUACAAAGGGUUGCUAAGCCGCGAGGCCACGCUAAUCUCAAAAAACCGAUCGUAGUCCAGAUUGCAGUCUGCAACUCGACUGCAUGAAGUCGGAAUCGCUAGUAAUCGCAGAUCAGAAUGCUGCGGUGAAUACGUUCCCGGGCCUUGUACACACCGCCCGUCACACCAUGGGAGUCUAUUGCACCAGAAGUAGCUAGCUUAACCUUCGGGAGGGCGGUUACCACGGUGUGGUCGAUGACUGGGGUGAAGUCGUAACAAGGUAACCGUA